CNCGGUCCGGUUUCGUAGGUGACCUGCGGAGGUCAUUACAGAGUUCUGGGUCCUUCGGGGCCCGUCCUCCAACCCCUUGUAUACAUACCUCGUUGCUUCGGCGGACCAGCGCGUCGAGAGGCGCGCGUCCGGCCCCCUUGAACCGGGGCUGGGGAGCGUCCGCCGGAGGCCUUCAAACUCUUGUUUGUAACGAUGCAGUCUGAUCGAAUAUCAAAUAUUCUAAAACUUUCAACAACGGAUCUCUUGGUUCUGGCAUCGAUGAAGAACGCAGCGAAAUGCGAUAAGUAAUGUGAAUUGCAGAAUUCAGUGAAUCAUCGAAUCUUUGAACGCACAUUGCGCCCCUUGGCAUUCCGAGGGGCAUGCCUGUUCGAGCGUCAUUACAACCCUCAAGCUCUGCUUGGUGUUGGGCCUCGUCCCCCCGCGGACGUGCCUCAAAAUCAUCGGCGGUGGCGUCUUGCCUCAAGCGUAGUAAAAUUCUUCUCGCUUUGGAGGUUGGGGCGCCCCCCGCCGGACGAACCUUUAUACUUCUAUCAAGGUUGACCUCGGAUCAGGUAGGGAUACCCGCUGAACUUAAGCAUAUCAAUAAGCGGAGGAA
rnacentral:rRNA from 1 species